ensembl:lncRNA
UUCAGGGGUUGAUGAGAUUCUAAUCCAGCAGGCGGCUCCUAUGUUGAAAUGCCACCCAGGUAUGGGUGUGGCCAAGCUGUGACAGAGAGGUCAGCACUUUCCAACAUCUCCAGAAAUAUAUUGCCAGUAGGGAAUUAAAAAGGCAAAAAGUGUUGUUUAGCCUAUCUGUAGAGAGAACAACAUGAAAUAACACGAAUAUGCAAAACUAAACCAGCCCAACACUGACAGCUGGACUAAUCAUCAUAAAGAAACUCAGUGACCAUACUUUGAUGACAAGCCAGAUGGCAGCUGUUCCCCAAGCCCGGUGCCAAGAAAGAUGAUUGGAGCUGCAAUUUACCUUCCGUGGUGAAGCUCAAUGCUGGAGCAUACCACAGCUGCGGAUUUGGCUGCUGCCAGUAGGUGUGUGCACAGUUGGUUUCCUCCCAAUUUGGAUUCAUCAGGGACCAGUGGUCUGGCUUGGAAAACU